AUUUUGUUUGAUUUUCUUUGUCCUCGUGCUCUGCACAUGAUGGUAACUUGGAUUUUGCUUGGGCAGGUGCCUUUCUCACUUGAGGACCCGGAUUACAAGGGCCUUGAGCUAGAUCUGAUGGUGUUCUGCGAGAAGCAUGGGAAGCCAUCAGAGAGGCUUGUUGCAUUUGAAGGAACAAUGACUGGGAGAAGGUUCUUAGCAUGUGCAGAGCCGGAAGGUCAGAAUUGUGGGUUUGUUCAGUGGGUUGAUGAGCAGUGGCCCCCAACAAUGGAGAAUGCACUGUUGAAGCUUUGGUCAAUGGUUGAAGAGAGCAAAUGUGCUAAGGUGAAUGAUAAUCUUGAAAGGGCUUUAACUAUUCACCAUUUGACAGAAGAAAAGAACAAGAUGGAUGCAGACUAUGACAAGUUGGUGAAAGAUGUGCAUCAACUUGUGGAUAUCUAGGCUGAUAGGGUUGUGGAUUUCAGUUAUCUGCAGUCCAACCUCACAUAUCAGCAGGAAUGCAGAGUUGAGUUGAUUGCUGGUAUGAAGGCAGAAAUGGCGCCAAAGAAAGAUGCAGCUGCAGAGAAGGUUCAACAGAAGUAUGAAAUCCUGUGCAACCUGACAAGUGCUCAAGCAACUGUCAUCCAAAACCUCAGGUUGAAGAAUAUGAAAGAGAAGGAAUUGCUGAGUGAGGCUGGGAUGAAUUUGGAGUUGAAGAAUGCAGAGUUCACACAUUUUGAGGAGAAGCUCACCCAAGAGAAGCUAGAGUUGAAGUUCCAGGUUGCUGAUCUGCUAAAGCUCAAGGAAAACUAUAAUGAAGAGAAGCAGAUGCAAGAGUUUAAGAUUACUGAGCUCAUGAAGGCACGGGAGAAGCUGAAGGAGAAGAUCAAGGGGAUCCAGGCCAUCUUGCAGAACUAA
rnacentral:rRNA from 1 species